rnacentral:rRNA from 1 species
UCGUAGGUGGUUUGUCGCGUUGUUCGUGAAAUCUCACGGCUUAACUGUGAGCGUGCGGGCGAUACGGGCAGACUUGAGUACUGCAGGGGAGACUGGAAUUCCUGGCGUAGCGGUGGAAUGCGCAGAUAUCAGGAGGAACACCGGUGGCGAAGGCGGGUCUCUGGGCAGUAACUGACGCUGAGGAGCGAAAGCGUGGGGAGCGAACAGGAUUAGAUACCCUGGUAGUCCACGCCGUAAACGGUGGGUACUAAGUGUGGGUUUCCUUCCUUGGGAUCCGUGCCGUAGCUAACGCAUUAAGUACCCCGCCUGGGGAGUACGGCCGCAAGGCUAAAACUCAAAGAAAUUGACGGGGGCCCGCACAAGCGGCGGAGCAUGUGGAUUAAUUCGAUGCAACGCGAAGAACCUUACCUGGGUUUGACAUGCACAGGACGCCGGCAGAGAUGUCGGUUCCCUUGUGGCCUGUGUGCAGGUGGUGCAUGGCUGUCGUCAGCUCGUGUCGUGAGAUGUUGGGUUAAGUCCCGCAACGAGCGCAACCCUUGUCUCAUGUUGCCAGCGGGUAAUGCCGGGGACUCGUGAGAGACUGCCGGGGUCAACUCGGAGGAAGGUGGGGAUGACGUCAAGUCAUCAUGCCCCUUAUGUCCAGGGCUUCACACAUGCUACAAUGGCCGGUACAAAGGGCUGCGAUGCCGCGAGGUUAAGCGAAUCCUUUUAAAGCCGGUCUCAGUUCGGAUCGGGGUCUGCAACUCGACCCCGUGAAGUCGGAGUCGCUAGUAAUCGCAGAUC